ACAGAGCUAAUAAGUAUAAAAGAGAUAAUUUUAUUAAAAAUACAUUACAGUGAAGGACAAAGGAUUGGCAAUGAGCAAUAACAAAGUCAAGACCUGUGCUGCUGAAGGUUGUCAAGAAACCAAUGUCCCUUGUGAUUUUUGGUAUAAGUGUGAAAAUUUGCAUUGCCUCUGCUUUGAUCAUCAAAUUGAGGAAAAUUGUCCAGUUACUACGUGUAAAUCAGAAACACAAGACUAUAGCAGAAGAGAUUGUCAAGGGAAAUCUGAAGAUGCUACUUGUUCUAAUCAAAGAUCUACUGGGAAGUGGUAUACUUGUAAUGAAGACCAUUUCUUUUGCAGCACUCAUCAAAAGCCUGAUAGCUGUCCUAUAGACAAUUAUCCAAAAAGGACUUAAAAUAACCAAUACAGAAAAGCAUUAGUACUGUAGUGUACUUUGUAUAACAUAAUAAGCUGAUAUAUGAACUGUUUUUGUUAUUUACUGUGCUGUAGCUGAUAUAUAUGAACUGCUUUUGUUAUUUACCCUGCUGUAUGCUGUAUUACAAGCAUGUAUUAAUUUUAGAUUACAAUAUUAUAAAAACAAUGA